rnacentral:rRNA from 1 species
CGGGUGAGUAGCGCGUGAGUAACCUGCCCUGGAGUGGGGGACAACAGUUGGAAACGACUGCUAAUACCGCAUAAGCCCACGGAUCCGCAUGGAUCUGCGGGAAAAGGAUUUAUUCGCUUCAGGAUGGACUCGCGUCCAAUUAGCUAGUUGGUGAGGUAACGGCCCACCAAGGCGACGAUUGGUAGCCGGACUGAGAGGUUGAACGGCCACAUUGGGACUGAGACACGGCCCAG